rnacentral:lncRNA from 10 species
AUUACAGGCAUUAGCCACUCCACCCAGCUGUGAGUAUUCUUAACUUAUGACAAUACUGUUAUUUGCAUAAGUGCAAUAAGAAUCUGUUUUCGUUUGUAACAGGACACAAUUGGAGAAACUGGUUAUUUUACCAAGGCUUUUACUGGAAUGGUGUGCUUUCCUUUAAGCAAUCAAAUUUGACUUUAUGGAGCCAAUAAAAGCCCCUUGGAAAAACUGGCCCCAUACCUUUGUCCACACAGCCGCUGUCCAAGGUUUCUGACCUGUGGCAAGUAAAGCACGUCACUUUCUGACAGGCCCAGGAGUCCCAAGUUUAUCUUGGAACCUCAAGAGGAGAGGAUCAUGCAAUUCAUAGGUAUUUGAUGGCACAAAUCCACGGCUGGGCUCGGCUUUUAAAAAGUCUUAUCUGAGAUUCUUUCUAUGGAACAAAGUUUCAUCAAAGCCAAUUUAAAAGCCUAUGUAAAAAAUAAUUAUUCGGCCAGAUGCGGUAGCUCAUGCCUAUAAUCCUAGCACUUUGAGAGGCCAAGGCAGGCGGAUCACCUGAGGUCAGGAAUUCAACACCAGCCUGGCCAACAUGGUGAAACCCCAUCCCUACUAAAAAUACAAAAUGUAGCCAGGUGUGAUGGUGCA